rnacentral:rRNA from 1 species
AUUGAACGCUGGCGGAAUGCUUUACACAUGCAAGUCGAACGGCAGCACGGGGGCAGCCCUGGUGGCGAGUGGCGAACGGGUGAGUAAUACAUCGGAACGUGCCCGGUCGUGGGGGAUAACGUAGCGAAAGUUACGCUAAUACCGCAUACGAUCUGAGGAUGAAAGCGGGGGACCUUCGGGCCUCGCGCGAUCGGAGCGGCCGAUGUCAGAUUAGGUAGUUGGUGGGGUAAAGGCCUACCAAGCCGACGAUCUGUAGCUGGUCUGGGAGGACGACCAGCCACACUGGGACUGAGACACGGCCCAGACUCCUACGGGAGGCAGCAGUGGGGAAUUUUGGACAAUGGGCGCAAGCCUGAUCCAGCCAUUCCGCGUGCAGGACGAAGGCCUUCGGGUUGUAAACUGCUUUUGUACGGAACGAAAAGGCUCUGGCUAAUACCUGGGGCUCAUGACGGUACCGUAAGAAUAAGCACCGGCUAACUACGUG